rnacentral:tRNA from 1 species
GCCCAGGUGGCGGAAUGGUAGACGCUGAGGACUUAAAAUCCUUUGUCCGAAAGGACGUGCGGGUUCGAGUCCCGCCUUGGGCA